CUUAGAUAGAAGAAAUGAUUGUACCACAAAAUGAAAAAACGGUGCUCUAUAUCGUGUUUCAAUCAGAAAAGAUUAUGAAGAAACUUGCUAAAAAUCCUGAAAAAACUAUCAAGGGAAAGAAGGUUGUUAUUUCAAAAUCAACAUUACAUAUCAGACACCAUGCCAAAACCUCCAGGACAGAUUGUUGUUGACGAAUUUAAAUUGACAGGUUAAAUUUUCAACCAAAGAUAUUAAUUUUCAA